UACAGAGGGGGCGAGCGUUGUUCGGAAUUACUGGGCGUAAAGGGCGCGUAGGCGGCCUGCUAUGUCGAACGUGAAAUCCCCGAGCUCAACUCGGGAACUGCGUCCGAUACUGACAGGCUUGAAUCCGGGAGAGGGAUGCGGAAUUCCAGGUGUAGCGGUGAAAUGCGUAGAUAUCAGGAGGAACACCGAUGGCGAAGGCAGGUCUCUGGGCAUUAACUGACGCUGAGGAGCGAAAGCAUGGGGAGCGAACAGG
rnacentral:rRNA from 1 species